CCUACGGGUGACAGCAGUGAGGAAUAUUGGUCAAUGGGCGCAAGCCUGAACCAGCCAAGUCGCGUGAGGGAUGACGGUCCUAUGGAUUGUAAACCUCUUUUGUCGGGGAGCAAGGCCCGCCACGUGUGGCGGGAAGGAGAGUACCCGAAGAAAAAGCAUCGGCUAACUCCGUGCCAGCAGCCGCGGUAAUACGGAGGAGGCGAGCGUUAUCCGGAUUUAUUGGGUUUAAAGGGUGCGUAGCCGGAAGGUUAAGCCAGCGGUAAAAUGUCGGUGCUCAACACCGGCCUGCCGUUGAAACUGGUCUUCUUGAGUGAGCGAGAAGUAUGCGGAAUGCGUGGUGUAGCGGUGAAAUGCAUAGAUAUCACGCAGAACUCCGAUUGCGAAGGCAGCAUACCGGCGCUCAACUGACGCUGAGGCACGAAAGCGUGGGGAUCGAACAGGAUUAGAUACCCCGGUAGUC
rnacentral:rRNA from 1 species